UACGAAGGGGGCUAGCGUUGCUCGGAAUGACUGGGCGUAAAGGGCGCGUAGGCGGAUUGUACAGUCAGGCGUGAAAUUCCCGGGCUCAACCUGGGGGCUGCGCUUGAGACGUGCGAUCUUGAGUGGGGAAGAGGGUCGUGGAAUUCCCAGUGUAGAGGUGAAAUUCGUAGAUAUUGGGAAGAACACCCGUGGCGAAGGCAGGUCUCUGGGCCACUACUGACGCUGAGAAGCGAAAGCAUGGGGAGCAAACAGG
rnacentral:rRNA from 1 species